rnacentral:misc_RNA from 1 species
GAUGAAGAACGUAGCGAAAUGCGAUAAGUAAUGUGAAUUGCAGAAUUCAGUGAAUCAUCGAAUCUUUGAACGCACAUUGCGCCCGCCAGUAUUCUGGCGGGCAUGCCUGUUCAAGCGUCAUUACAACCCUCAGGCCCCCGGGCCUGGCGUUGGGGAUCGGCGGAAGCCCCCUGCGGGCACAACGCCGUCCCCCAAAUACAGUGGCGGUCCCGCCGCAGCUUCCAUUGCGUAGUAGCUAACACCUCGCAACUGGAGAGCGGCGCGGCCACGCCGUAAAACACCCAACUUCUGAAUGUUGACCUCGAAUCAGGUAGGAAUACCCGCUGAACUUAAGCAUAUCAAUAAGCGGAGGA